rnacentral:rRNA from 1 species
GACGAACGCUGGUGGCGUGCCUCAUACAUGCAAGUCGAGCGAGGCUUCGAGUCGAGCGGCGUACGGGUGAGUAUCGCGUGAGUAACCUACCCUAUAGUUGGGAAUAACCCCCCUAACGGGGGACUAAUACCGAAUAUUGAGUGGCACUGCAUAGUGCUUAGUCGAAAGGGCGCAAGCCCGCUAAAGGAUGGACUCGCGUCUGAUUAGCUAGUUGGAGGGGUAACGGCCCACCAAGGCGAUGAUCAGUAGCCGACCUGAGAGGACGAUCCCCCACACUGGUACUGAGACACGGUCCAGACUCCUACGGGAGGCAGCAGUAGGGAGUUUUCGGCAAUGGGGGAAACCCUGACCGAGCAACGCCGCGUGAGUGAUGAAGGUCUUCGGAUUGUAAAGCUCUGUUAUAAGGGAAGAACGGCAGCUAGAGGAAAUGCUAGCUGUUUGACGGUACUUUAUGAGAAAGCCACGGCUAACUACGUG